rnacentral:rRNA from 1 species
UACGUAGGGGGCCAGCGUUGUCCGGAUUUAUUGGGCGUAAAGAGCGUGUAGGCGGCCAGGUAGGUCUGGUGUGAAAACUCGAGGCUCAACCUCGAGAUGUCAUCGGAAACCAUCUGGCUAGAGUCCGGAAGAGGAGAGUGGAAUUCCUGGUGUAGCGGUGAAAUGCGCAGAUAUCAGGAAGAACACCAAUGGCGAAGGCAGCUCUCUGGGACGGUACUGACGCUGAGACGCGAAAGCGUGGGGAGCGAACAGG